rfam:Felis catus isolate Cinnamon breed Abyssinian chromosome B3, whole genome shotgun sequence.
GCCUGGGUGGCUCAGUCGGUUAAGCGUCUGACUUCGGCUCAGGUCAUGAUCUCGGGGUCCGUGAGUUCGAGCCCCACGUCGGGCU